rnacentral:rRNA from 1 species
AGGUAGGACUACCCGCUGAACUUAGCAUAUCAAUAAGCGGAAAGAAGA